rnacentral:rRNA from 1 species
AACGAACGCUGGCGGCAGGCUUAACACAUGCAAGUCGAACGCAUCCUUCGGGGUGAGUGGCAGACGGGUGAGUAACACGUGGGAACGUACCUUUCGGUUCGGGAUAACCCAGGGAAACUUGGGCUAAUACCGGAUACGUCCUUUGGGAGGAAAGAUUUAUUGCCGAGAGAUCGGCCCGCGUCUGAUUAGCUAGUUGGUGAGGUAACGGCUCACCAAGGCGACGAUCAGUAGCUGGUCUGAGAGGAUGAUCAGCCACACUGGGACUGGGACACGGCCCAGACUCCUACGGGAGGGCAGCAGUGGGGAAUAUUGGACAAUGGGCGCAAGCCUGAUCCAGCCAUGCCGCGUGAGUGAUGAAGGCCCUAGGGUUGUAAAGCUC